UACAGAGGUCUCAAGCGUUGUUCGGAAUCACUGGGCGUAAAGGGCGUGUAGGCUGCGUGUUAAGUCAGAUGUGAAAUCCCGGGGCUCAACCUCGAAACUGCAUCCGAUACUGGCAUGCUAGAGAAUUGGAGAGGAGUCUAGAAUUCACGGUGUAGCAGUGAAAUGCGUAGAUAUCGUGAGGAAUACCAAGUGCGAAGGCAAGACUCUGGACAUUUUCUGACGCUGAGACACGAAGGCUAGGGGAGCAAACGGG
rnacentral:rRNA from 1 species